ensembl:snoRNA
CAGCACUGGCAAGUGACCCAUUAGGUUCCUCCUUGACCAACGGGGCAUCGAGUAGUGCAAAAGCAAAUCCCUCCAUAAAGCUGGGACAGUCAUGCUGUGGGCUACACCUGCAUGCAGGUGGGUACAUAU